rnacentral:misc_RNA from 1 species
GGUGGAGAAUCUUGAAAAUUAAAAAAAAAAAAAGAAGUUGAGAAAGAGAAAUACUGAUCUGAUUUGUUUUCACCUUUUGGCAUCCAAAAGGCAAGAAAAGACAGUGACUAAAGAAUUAGGAUUUUGGGUUUGCAUGACACUAAUGAAUGAACUUGAGCAAUGCAUCUAAAAUUGUAAAUUAUAUCAUUUGCUUUAUGAUUUUUUGCUUUAACAUUUUGUGUUGUUAGAGGAAUACUUUUAAUCUAGAAGCUUAAGACAUAAAAUAUAUUAUGAAAUAUGAAUAUAAAAUUUGGCAAUUUAUUGAUUGUAUAAUAUGUUAGACUGUUUUACGUUGUAUAUUUAAUUAUU